rnacentral:rRNA from 1 species
GAUGAACGCUGGCGGCGUGCCUAAUACAUGCAAGUCGAGCGAACAGACGAGGAGCUUGCUCCUCUGACGUUAGCGGCGGACGGGUGAGUAACACGUGGAUAACCUACCUAUAAGACUGGGAUAACUUCGGGAAACCGGAGCUAAUACCGGAUAAUAUAUUGAACCGCAUGGUUCAAUAGUGAAAGACGGUUUUGCUGUCACUUAUAGAUGGAUCCGCGCCGCAUUAGCUAGUUGGUAAGGUAACGGCUUACCAAGGCAACGAUGCGUAGCCGACCUGAGAGGGUGAUCGGCCACACUGGAACUGACACACGGUCCAGACUCCUACGGGAGGCAGCAGUAGGGAAUCUUCCGCAAUGGGCGAAAGCUUGACGGAGCAACGCCGCGUGAGUGAUGAAGGUCUUCGGAUCGUAAAACUCUGUUAUUAGGGAAGAACAAAUGUGUAAGUAACUAUGCACGUCUUGACGGUACCUAAUCAGAAAGCCACGGCUAACUACGUG